UUAUUUUCCCACAAUUCCAUUUCACCGGAAACGGCAGGUUCGAUUGCGCGUUGCUUUUACCACGGAUCCGGUGAACUUUCCGUGCGAGAAGCCAGUUGAUAUCGAUUUGGAUUGAGUGGGUGCUCUGCCCAAGAUGUCUUUCCCUCCUCAUCUCAACCGGCCACAAAUAGGCAUCCCAGCGAUGCCGCCAGGAAUCCCUCCACCACAGUUUGCUGGGUUUCCACCGUCGAUGCCUCCCGGAACCCCAAUGAUUCCUGUCCACAUGGGGAUUAUGACUCAAGCCCCUGCGGUUCUCGUGCCCACGGCGAUGUCUGUGGUUAGUAAAGUUGCUGUUCCUAGGAAGGAAAGCGCUGCUCAGGCAAAAGACAACCAUGACAGCAGCGGCCCCACGACCACCGUGUUUGUGGGCAACAUCUCUGAGAAAGCGUCUGACAUGCUCAUCAGACAGCUGCUGGCCAAAUGUGGUUUGGUAUUGAGCUGGAAACGAGUUCAAGGUGCCUCAGGGAAACUCCAAGCGUUUGGUUUCUGUGAGUACAAAGAGCCUGAAUCUACUCUACGAUCUCUACGGCUGCUGCAUGAGCUGCAGAUUGGAGAAAAGAAACUUCUGGUCAAAGUCGAUGCCAAAACCAAAGCACAACUGGAUGAGUGGAAAGCAAAGAAGAAGAGCAUCAGUGAAAAUGGAAAUGGCAAGGCAGAGGAUGGUGCUGGUGAAGAGGAAGAGGAGGUUCUGGCUGAAGAAACGAAGAAGCGGGACCAAAUUGUCAAAGGUGCCAUUGAUGGCCUGAUCCGGGAGUAUUCAAACGAGCUCAACGCUACAUCACAAGACGAUGAGUCGAGUCGCCGCAAAAAGAGGAGAGAAAAGAAGGACGAGGAUGACAUCAGUGCCAUGGAAAUGGAAGAUGAUAAAAGAGAUCUGAUUUCCAGAGAGAUCAACAAAUUCCGCGAUACACACAAGAAAUUGGAAGAGGAAAAGGGGAAGAGAGAGAAGGAGAGGCAGGAGCUGGAGCGGGAACGCAAGGAGAGAGACAAGGACCGCGAGAGGGAGCGCGAACGACGAGACCGCGAGCGGGAGAAGGACCGAGAGAGGGAGCGGGAGAGAGAGCGGGAGCGCGAGAGGGAGAGAGAGAGAGAUCGAGACCGUGAGCGCACGAAAGAGCGCGAGAGGGAGAGAGACCGAAGCCGCGAUCGCAGCGAAGACCGCAGUCAAUCCAGAGAACAGAGUCGCGAUAGAGACCGAGAUAAGGAGAAGAAACGUGAUCGUGAGGAAGAUGAGGAAGAGGCGUACGAACGGCGUAAACUGGAGAGGAAGCUGCGAGAGAAAGAGGCGGCGUAUCAGGAGCGUCUGAAGAACUGGGAGCUCAGAGAGAGGAAGAAAGCCAGAGACUACAGCAAGGAGAUGGAGAGGGAGGAGGAACGCCGGCGUGAGAUGGCUAAAGAAGGGAAGCGGCUGAAGGAGUUUCUGGAAGACUAUGACGAUGACAGAGACGACCCAAAAUACUACAGGGGCAGCGCUCUUCAGAAGCGUCUGCGGGACAGAGAGAAGGAGACGGAGCUGGAUGAACGUGACAGGAAGCGGGAGAAGGAAGAGCUGGAGGAGAUCAGGCAGAGGCUGCUAGCAGAAGGACAUCCUGAUCCAGACGCUGAGCUGCGCAGGAUGGAGGAGGAGGCAGAGCGUCUGCGGCAGCCGCCCCUGAAGCCCGAGCCCGAGGAGGAGAGAGAGCACAAGCCCUCUCGAGAAGAGCUUGACAGAGGCAGGGAGAGAGACCGGCGCAAGGCUCACGCUCACGCUCACGUUCACGCUCCCGUCCCCUCAGACGAUGAUGUAGAGGAAGGGGAGGAGCUAGAGGACGAAGAGGAGGUGAAACCCUGCCUCAAACCCACCAUGCGGCCCAUCAUGUCCGCCCCCUCUGUGUCUUCAGCGAGCGGAAACGCCACGCCCAACACGCCCAGAGAAGAGUCGCCCUGCGGCAUCAUCAUCCCUCACGAGAACUCGCCGCCGGAGAUCCCGCUUCAGGAGGAGAACCGGCCCAAGAUCGGCCUUAGCCUCAAACUAGGUUCAACCGGUAGCCCAGGACAGCCCAGCGUAGCCAAGCGGAAGAAGCUGGCGGUGGAGAGCGUCUUCAACCGCUUUGACAAUGACGAGGUGGACGAGGCGCCUCGGAAGAGGAAGCUGGUGCCUUUAGACUACGAGGAUGAGGAGAAGGGAGUAGACAUGAGCAUGGUGGCCGGCGGCAAAGGAGUCAAUACAGAAGAGAAGCGCAAACACAUCAAGAGUCUGAUCGAGAAGAUUCCCACGGCUAAACCAGAGCUCUUUAACUACCCUCUCGACUGGUCCGUCGUCGACACGGCACUUAUGGAGAAGCGUAUUCGACCGUGGAUCAAUAAGAAGAUCGUAGAGUACAUUGGUGAAGAAGAAGCCACAUUAGUUGACUUUGUUUGCACCAAGGUAAUGGCCCACAGCACACCUCAAGGCAUCUUGGACGACGUUGCGAUGGUGCUGGAUGAAGAGGCUGAGGUCUUCAUAGUUAAAAUGUGGAGGUUAUUGAUUUACGAAACUGAAGCCAAGAAGAUCGGCCUCGGGAAAUGAACAAGCAGCGAACGCCCAUGAACUUUGCUUUUUACUUCCCCUUUGGGCCGGACAGCUCAUCUAGGUUUCAAAACAACUUGGGAAACUCGACCAUUUGUGACCUGUGGAGUUAAUUCAUAUUGAGCCGCGUCCCAGACGCCUCCGUAAGAGCAGCAGCAGCGACGAGAACCGAGAGGAAGAGGUUUGGUUUCUCAGGGCCUUCCUGUUGAAUCUGUCUUCAGCGUAGCUACGUCUCGGCCGCUUAGCGCUUCUUUCUGUGAGGAAGUCAUUGUAAAUUGUUACUGUAAUGAUUGCCAAUCUCGUCUGGGUUGUGAUUUUACCGUGUCUGUUCUUUUGGUCGCUCUCACCAACCGAACCAAAGAGUUUUCCCCAGUUGUUUCGCUAAAACUAAAGCAGUUGUGAUUGGACCCCGACUCUGUUCAGAAGCUCUCGCUAAACUGAUUGACAUCAAAACGAUUGAUUGUCUUUGUUUUUGUACUUAUCAGUGGCUGUGUUUUGAAUAAAAGUGAUUCAUUUUUUUUUUUUUUCUUUUGGUAAAA